rnacentral:rRNA from 1 species
GAUCAUGGCUCAGGAUGAACGCUAGCUACAGGCUUAACACAUGCAAGUCGCGGGGUAACAUCUGGUAGAGCUUGCUCUUCCAGGAUGACGACCGGCGCACGGGUGAGUAACGCGUAUCCAACCUGGCCCAUACCACGGGAUAGCCCGUCGAAACGACUGCUAAUACCGCAUGAUACAUUUGGGUGGCAUCAUCUGAAUGUCAAAGAUUUAUCGCUGAAAGAUGGCCUCGCGUCUGAUUAGCUGGUUGGUGAGGUAACGGCCCACCAAGGCGACGAUCAGUAGCCGGACUGAGAGGUUGACCGGCCACAUUGGGACUGAGAUACGGCCCAGACUCCUACGGGAGGCAGCAGUGGGGAAUAUUGGGCAAUGGGCGCAAGCCUGACCCAGCAACGCCGCGUGAAGGAAGAAGGCUUUCGGGUUGUAAACUUCUUUUAAGAGGGAAGAGCAGAAGACUGUACCUCUAGAAUAAGCCACGGCUAACUACGUG